rnacentral:lncRNA from 1 species
CGUGAGCGGCGGCCAGGCCGCUCUGCUUGGCGCUCAUGUCCGCCCUGCUCCGGACCGGGCCGCGCGCUGUGCCCCGAGAGCCAAGAAGGCAGGAGCGAACGCGGGAGCUAGAGGGCAGGGCCGAGGCGCUGCGGCCGGCCCAGAGAGGCCCCCGCACGUCCAGGGCCGCCGCCCGGCGCCCCGAGGGGCAGUCGGCGCCCGGCGCGCUCUUCUCGGGGCGGUGGGCAAGGCUGGCGGCCUGACGCGGGCGCGGGAGACGAGGAGACGCGGAGAAGAAGGUGUCCCGGCUGCAGGCACCCCUCGCUGUCUCCAGCAGGAAGGGGCGACUCAGGUGGCGGUGCGACUGCCGCUGGUUUCGGUUCUGGUGCGCCAUGACGGGCCGCUGCCGCUUUCUGCCGCCGCGCUUGGCGCCCCGGGCCUCCGCACCGCCUAGUCUCCGGCGGCCGCUGCUACCGCCGCCAUCCUCCGGCUCCCACGGCGGCUGGCGGCUGAGUGGGAGGCGCCCGCCCAGACUCCGCCGGAGCCACCUUCCCUCCUCCCCCAGCCACCCAGCCGUUAUUAACGGAGAAAGAGGAAAAACGGGUGGCGCGCGAGGGGAGGACGAAGAAUGGGAGGGAGGGAGGGGUGGCCCGCGCUUCCCGGCAACCGUCGCUUCCCUCCCCCUGCGAGAUUAAUUUCACAGGGGAUUAAUUUCUCAUUUACAAAUAAAAAUGUAAUCAUAGCCUCCUGGUAUCGCACAUCCAUGGGAAUACUGAAUUUAUUUGGACUAGAAACUAACACCUGCUGGAAUGUCACCAGAAUAGAACCUCUUAAUGAAGUUCAAAGCUGUGAAGGCAUGUUUCUUCCAAAAAUGCUGUCAUUUGUAAACAUUCAUAAACAUUUAAUAAUAUUAUGAUUCACUUUAAAGAAUUAUUGUAAAAUACUGUUGUUGAUUUAAAAAAAAAUUAGAACUGGCUCACCUCAAUGAGUAUUUUACAUUUUAAAGUAGUUUUCUGAGAAGGCUGUGUACUUACAAAUUUGAGUAUAAAUUUUGGAAUUUGAGUAUUAACAUAUCCCAUUGUAAGGCAACCUUGACUAUAAGUUAGUCUUCUAUUUCAGAAUGCGAAGAUACAGACAGAUGUUUUUUGGGGUAGCUUCAAUAUAUAAAUUUUGAGGAUAGAUUAAAGAGUCAAAUAUCUAUUUGUAAUAGCUAAUGUAUAAAUUUAAUUAUGCAUACAUAUUUAAAAAUCGGAUAUGCAAUAAUAGAUUGAUUUAGAAACAUUACUUUUUUAUAUAUGCUCAUAGUCCGUGAGUAGUAUUAAUAAAACUCUUCCUAUUUAUCUUCUACAUUGGUUUCUUUGUCAAAGAACCACUUUUGGAGUCAUCCAACAGCGUUCCAGGAUACAUAGUGGUCACUUCCAUUUAAGAUGUUUGCAUUUCAGCACUUUUAUAAUUCAAAUAUGGUGCUGUCCCUUGAGACUCUUGUUGAGAGCCACAUGUAUCUCUUUUUAUAACACUAACACUGUUGUUUUUUCUGCAUUUCUUCAAAUUCUUAACAACAUGACUUAUUAUAUUUUAUGAAUAAAUUUUUAGACUUGUCUGUAACAACAUUCAACUCUUGGAAUAUAAACUAAAUCUAUUUUCCUUACAUUUUUUACUGAUUCCCUCAGUAAAAAUAGAAUUGAUGAGGAUGUUUGA